GCCUGGGUCGGCUGCAGCAGCACUCAAGGAGCUCCUACCUUAACUCAGAAGGGGCAGGGCUCCCACCGGCUCCAUGGAGUGUGUGGCCCCAGCAGCGCCUCCCUGCUGCAGCCAGCAUGAGUGAGAUCAUGGGGCGAAUCCAAUGGAAGCUUCAGAAGAAAAAACUGUUACUGAUAAUCACAGCAUCUUUCAGCAUAACCUGUUGCAGAGGAAGGUUGAAACUAGCACAGAAGACAUACUAAUGUUGGGUCACAUUCCUGGAGGGAUGCGUGUCAGGAACAAUCAAUCCUGGCACCAAGAUUUCCUGACUGCAGUGACAA
rnacentral:lncRNA from 1 species